rnacentral:sRNA from 1 species
AGUCGGGCCUGCGGUGGGAGUGGGAAGGAAGGCGGAGGGAACCAUGCGAGGUUCUGAGAACUGCGGCGAGGGUCGCCUCGAGAGACGGUUUCUGAGCAGGAAUUCUGAAAUCCCCACCACUUCCUCCCUCCGGGGGAUUUGAUCCCCUAUGGCCACCGCUAACAGCAUCAUCGUGCUGGAUGAUGAUGACGAAGAUGAAGCAGCUGCUCAGCCAGGGCCCUCCCACCCACUCCCCAAUGCGGCCUCACCUGGGGCAGAAGCCCCUAGCUCCUCUGAGCCUCAUGGGGCCAGAGGAAGCAGUAGUUCGGGCGGCAAGAAAUGCUACAAGCUGGAGAAUGAGAAGCUGUUCGAAGAGGUGAGCUUUAGCGGGGAAGAUUGUUGUACCCCAGGGAGGGGGAUGGCUGACUGGUUCUCCUGUCCUUUCUUUCCCACUAACCCCACCUCCCCUUUCUCUCAACCCCCU